rnacentral:rRNA from 1 species
AUGCAUGUCUAAGUACAGCUCGGUGGGGUAACCUACCGGGUGAAACCGCAGACGGCUCAUUAAAUCAGUUGUGGUCUAAGUGGGCGACAGUUUCCUUAUUUGGAUAACUGUGGAAAAUCCAGAGCUAAUACAUGCAACUUAAGUCCUGAGCCAAAGCCCUUGUGGUGAUUAACUCGGGAUGCUUUUAUUAGACCGAGGCACGCGCACACGUGAUUUAGCUCUGUGCUUCGGUGCAGUAGCGGUCACUUGUGUGACAUUGUAAGUGCUUAAAGGUGACUCUGGAUAACACCGAUAAGCGUGCCUUAACUGGCACGCUGCCUACUUACGAGUGACUGCCCUAUCAGCUAAAACGUAUGUUAUACGCGAACGUUGGCUAUAACGGGUAACRGGRAAUCAGAGUUCGAUUCCGGAGAGGCAGCCUGAGAAACGGCUACCACG